UUAGAGUUUGAUCCUGGCUCAGGAUAAACGCUGGCGGCGUGCUUAACACGUGCAAGUCGAACGGGGCACCCCCAAAGGAGUUUUCGGACAACUGCGGGGAAUGCCUAGUGGCGGACGGGUGAAUAACGCGUGAGCAACCUGCCUUGGAGUGGGGAAUAACAGAUGGAAACAUCUGCUAAUCCCGCAUGAUGCAGUUGGGCCACGUGGCUCUUACUGCCAAACAUUUAUCCCUCUGAGAUGGGCUCGCGUCUGAUUAGCUAGGUGGCGGGCUAACGGCCCACCAAAGCAACGAUCAGUCGCCGGACUGAGAGGUUGGCCGGCCACAUUGGGACUGAAACACAGCCCAGACUCCUACGGGAGGCAGCAGUGGGGAAUAUUGGGCAAUGGGCGCAAGCCUUACCCAGCAACGCCGCGUGAAGGAAGAAGGCUUUCGGGUUGUAAACUUCUUUUCUCAGGGACGAACAGAUGACGGUACCUGAGGAAUAAGCCACGGCUAACUACGUGCCAGCAGCCGCGGUAAUACGUAGGUGGCAAGCGUUAUCCGGAUUUACUGGGUGUAAAGGGCGUGUAGGCGGGGACGCAAGUCAGAUGUGAAAACCACGGGCUCAACCUGUGGCCUGCAUUUGAAACUGUGUUUCUUGAGUACUGGAGAGGCAGACGGAAUUCCUAGUGUAGCGGUGAAAUGCGUAGAUAUUAGGAGGAACACCAGUGGCAAAGGCGGUCUGCUGGACAGCAACUGACGCUGAGGCGCGAAAGCGUGGGGAGCAAACAGGAUUAGAUACCCUGGUAGUCCACGCUGUAAACGAUGGAAUACUAGGUGUGGGGGACUGACCCCCCCCGUGCCGCAGUUAACACAAUAAGUAAUCCACCUGGGGAGUACGGCCGCAAGGCUGAAACUCAAAGGAAUUGACGGGGGCCCGCACAAGCAGUGGAGUAUGUGGUUUAAUUCGAAGCAACGCGAAGAACCUUACCAGGUCUUGACAUCUCCUGAAUAGCCUAGAGAUAGGUGAAGCCCUUCGGGGCAGGAAGACAGGUGGUGCAUGGUUGUCGUCAGCUCGUGUCGUGAGAUGUUGGGUUAAGUCCCGCAACGAGCGCAACCCUUGUUGUCAGUUGCUACGGAAGAGCACUCUGGCGAGACCGCCGUUGACAAAACGGAGGAAGGUGGGGAUGACGUCAAAUCAUCAUGCCCCUUAUGACCUGGGCUACACACGUACUACAAUGGCACUUAACAGAGGGAGGCGAAGGAGCGAUCCGGAGCGAACCCCCAAAAAGUGUCUCAGUUCAGAUUGCAGGCUGAAACUCGCCUGUAUGAAGUCGGAAUUGCUAGUAAUCGCAGAUCAGCAUGCUGCGGUGAAUACGUUCCCGGGCCUUGCACACACCGCCCGUCA
rnacentral:rRNA from 1 species